rnacentral:rRNA from 1 species
CAUGCAAGUCGAGGGGAAACGACAUCGAAAGCUUGCUUUUGAUGGGCGUCGACCGGCGCACGGGUGAGUAACGCGUAUCCAACCUGCCCACCACUUGGGGAUAACCUUGCGAAAGUAAGACUAAUACCCAAUGAUAUCUCUAGAAGACAUCUGAAAGAGAUUAAAGAUUUAUCGGUGAUGGAUGGGGAUGCGUCUGAUUAGCUUGUUGGCGGGGUAACGGCCCACCAAGGCUACGAUCAGUAGGGGUUCUGAGAGGAAGGUCCCCCACAUUGGAACUGAGACACGGUCCAAACUCCUACGGGAGGCAGCAGUGAGGAAUAUUGGUCAAUGGACGAGAGUCUGAACCAGCCAAGUAGCGUGCAGGAUGACGGCCCUAUGGGUUGUAAACUGCUUUUAUAAGGGAAUAAAGUGAGCCUCGUGAGGCUUUUUGCAUGUACCUUAUGAAUAAGGACCGGCUAAUUCCGUGCCAGCAGCCGCGGUAAUACGGAAGGUCCGGGCGUUAUCCGGAUUUAUUGGGUUUAAAGGGAGCGUAGGCCGGAGAUUAAGCGUGUUGUGAAAUGUAGAUGCUCAACAUCUGCACUGCAGCGCGAACUGGUUUCCUUGAGUACGCACAAAGUGGGCGGAAUUCGUGGUGUAGCGGUGAAAUGCUU